UUCCGGUUGAUCCUGCCGGACCUUACUGCUAUCGGGGUGGGACUAAGACAUGCGAGUCGAGCGUCUCUAGCUAUGUUGAGACGCGGCAGACGGCUCAGUAACACGUGGCUAACCUACCCUCAGGACGAGGACAAACCCGGGAAACUGGGGCUAAUACUCGAUAGGUGAGAAUGUCUGGAAUGAUUUCUCACUCAAAGGACCUUGGAAACAUGCUUCCAUUGUCGCCUGGGGAUGGGGCCGCGUCCGACCAGGUUGUUGGUGAGGUAAUGGCUCACCAAGCCUGUAACCGGUACGGGCCGUGAGAGCGGUAGCCCGGAGAUGGGUACUGAGACAAGGACCCAGGCCCUACGGGGCGCAGCAGUCGCGAAAACUCCGCAAUGCACGAAAGUGUGACGGGGCUACCCCGAGUGCCAUCCGCUGAGGGUGGCUUUUCCUUGGUAUAACUAGCCGAGGGAAUAAGGAGAGGGCAAGACUGGUGUCAGCCGCCGCGGUAAUACCAGCUCUCCGAGUGGUAGGGAUGAUUAUUGGGCCUAAAGCGUCCGUAGCCGGCUUAGCAAGUCUCCUGUUAAAUUCAGCGACCUAAUCGUUGAGCCGCGGGAGAUACUACUAGGCUAGGAGGCGGGAGAGGUCGACGGUACUUCUGGGGUAGGGGUGAAAUCCUAUAAUCCCGGGAGGACCACCAGUGGCGAAGGCUGUCGACUAGAACGCGCUCGACGGUGAGGGACGAAAGCUGGGGGAGCGAACCGGAUUAGAUACCCGGGUAGUCCCAGCCGUAAACGAUGCGGGCUAGGUGUUGGGGUGGCUACGUGCCACUUCAGUGCCGCAGGGAAGCCAUUAAGCCCGCCGCCUGGGGAGUACGGCCGCAAGGCUGAAACUUAAAGGAAUUGGCGGGGAGCACCACAAGGCGUGAAGCU
rnacentral:rRNA from 1 species